rnacentral:rRNA from 1 species
AGCCAUUAGAUGAUAUUUAUGGUUAAACCUGCCCAAUGUUAGAAAUAAUGAAUGGCCGCGGUACCCUGACCGUGCUAAGGUAGCGUAAUCAGUUGGCUUUUAAAUGGAGUCAGGAAUGAAUGGGAAAACCGGGUCUAGCUGUCUCCAAACUAUUUUUUUGAAUUUACUGUUUAAGUGAAAAAGCUUAAAUUUGAUAAAGGGACGAGAAGACCCUUAGAAUUUUUUUUAAAGUGAAAGUUUUUCAUAAUAAUUUUGUUGGGGCGACAGAGAAAUAUUUAAAACUUUCUUUAAAUUACAAGCCGAUUUUGUUAAGUAAGAAUAAAUUACCUAAGGGAUAACAGCAUAAUUCUAUAGUUGAGUUUGUGACCUCGAUGUUGGACUAGGAAACUAACAGGCUAGCCGUUUGUUGUGUGGGUUCUGUUCGAACUUUAAUUCCUA